rnacentral:rRNA from 1 species
AGGUCAAGCUACAAAGGGCGCAUGGUGAAUGCCUUGGCACUAGGAGCCGAAGAAGGACGCGAUAAGCUGCGAUAAGCCUUGGGUAGCCGCAAAUAGGCUGAGAUCCAGGGAUUUCCGAAUGAGGAAACUCACAUGGGUAACCCCAUGUAUCAUGCACUGAAUACAUAGGUGUAUGAGGGUAAACCCGGGGAACUGAAACAUCUAAGUACCCGGAGGAAGAGAAAGAAAAAUCGAUUUCCUAAGUAGCGGCGAGCGAACGGGAAAGAGCCCAAACCAGAAACUUGUUUCUGGGGUUGUGGAUAGAUCAUAAAAGAAGAGGUAUCUUAAUCGAAGAGGGCUGGAACGCCCUACCAUAGAAGGUAAUAGUCCUGUAGAUAAAAAGAGAAAACUUCGAGAUCUAAUCCAGAGUACCACGAGACACGUGAAACCUUGUGGGAAGCAGGGAGGACCACCUCCCAAGGCUAAAUACUACCUAGUGACCGAUAGUGAAGCAGUACCGUGAGGGAAAGGUGAAAAGAACCCCGGAAGGGGAGUGAAAUAGAACCUGAAACCGUGUGCCUACAACCGAUCGGAGCACGUUAAAGUGUGACGAUGUGCUUUUUGUAGAACGAGCCAGCGAGUUACGCUAUGUAGCAAGGUUAAGUACUUAAGGUAUGGAGCCGAAGGGAAACCGAGUCUGAAAAGGGCGAAAAGUUGCAUGGUGUAGACCCGAAACCGGGUGACCUAUCCAUGGCCAGGUUGAAGCGAGAGUAAAAUCUCGUGGAGGACCGAACCACGUUGGUGUUGAAAAACCAUGGGAUGAGCUGUGGAUAGCGGAGAAAUUCCAAUCGAACUCGGAGAUAGCUGGUUCUCCUCGAAAUAGCUUUAGGGCUAGCGUCGUGUAAUUGAGUAAUGGAGGUAGAGCACUGAAUGGGCUAGGGGCUAUAGUAGUUACCGAACCCUAUCAAACUCCGAAUGCCAUAUACUUGUAUCACGGCAGUCAGACUGCGAAUGAUAAGAUCCGUAGUCAAAAGGGAAACAGCCCAGACCAUCAGCUAAGGUCCCAAAGUGUAAGUUAAGUGGAAAAGGAUGUGGGAUUUCUAAGACAACUAGGAUGUUGGCUUAGAAGCAGCCACUCAUUUAAAGAGUGCGUAAUAGCUCACUAGUCAAGAGAUCCUGCGCCGAAGAUGUCCGGGGCUCAAACUUACCACCGAAGCUAUGGGUGUACACUAUGUGUACGCGGUAGAGGAGCUUUCUGUAUGGGUUGAAGUCGUACCGUAAGGAGCGGUGGACUGUACAGAAGUGAGAAUGCUGGCAUAAGUAGCGAGAAAUAAGUGAGAAUCUUAUUGGCCGAAAACCUAAGGUUUCCUGAGGAAGGUUCGUCCGCUCAGGGUUAGUCGGGACCUAAGCCGAGGCCGAAAGGCGUAGGUGAUGGACAAUCGGUUGAUAUUCCGAUACCACCUAUUUACGUUUGAGAAAUGGGGUGACGCAGUAGGAUAAGAUGUGCGCACUAUUGGAUGUGCGUCUAAGCACUUAGGCAUGCUUGAUAGGCAAAUCCGUCGAGCUAAGCUGAGGUGUGAUGGGGAGCCAUUUAUGGCGAAGUAUCUGAUUCCACACUGCCAAGAAAAGCCUCUAUCGAGUGAAUAGGUGCCCGUACCGCAAACCGACACAGGUAGGUGAGGAGAGAAUCCUAAGGCCAUCGGAAGAAUUGCUGUUAAGGAACUCGGCAAAUUGACCCCGUAACUUCGGGAGAAGGGGUGCCUACGAAAGUAGGCCGCAGAGAAUAGGCCCAAGCAACUGUUUAGCAAAAACACAGGUCUCUGCUAAAGCGAAAGCUGAUGUAUAGGGGCUGACGCCUGCCCGGUGCUGGAAGGUUAAGGGGAACACUUAGCGUAAGCGAAGGUGUGAACUUAAGCCCCAGUAAACGGCGGCCGUAACUAUAACGGUCCUAAGGUAGCGAAAUUCCUUGUCGGGUAAGUUCCGACCCGCACGAAUGGCGUAAUGAUUUGGGCACUGUCUCAACAGCAAAUCCGG